AUGGCGUCCCUCAACUGCUACUCCUUGUUACUGGUGGUGGUUGCAUUGGUCACGACGCCACUUGCCGUUGUGGCCGGCGACCCGGACAUCCUCGCCGACUUUGUCGUCCCAAACGACAUGUACGGGAUAGCACCAAUGAACAUCACCGGCGACUUCUUCACCUACACCGGCUUUCGCGCCACCAUGAACAUGACCAUGCCGAUGCCGGGGGCGCAGAACUUCACUGUGACCAAGGCCAGCAUGACCGAGUUCCCGGCACUCAACGGGCAGAGCGUGUCCUACGCCAUGCUCAAGUUCCCCUCCGAAUCCAUCAACCCACCCCAUACCCACCCUCGUGCAGCAGAGCUACUGCUCGUCCUUCACGGUGCGCUCUCCGUUGGCUUCGUCGACACGGCUGGCAAGCUCUACACUCAGGACCUAGCCGUCGGCGACAUGUUCAUAUUCCCCAAGGGUCUGGUGCACUAUCAGUCCAACCCAGGGCAAAGCCCCGCAGUUGCACUCUCGGCAUUCGGUAGCGCCGCCGCGGGCACCGUGUCUGUUCCUGUUACCGUGUUUGGUACUGGUGUUGACGAUGCGGUGCUCGCCAAGUCCUUCAAGACUGACCUGCCCACCGUGCAAAAGCUCAAGGCGGCACUCACUCCGCC
rnacentral:rRNA from 1 species